GACGAACGCUGGCGGCGUGCUUAACACAUGCAAGUCUACGAGAAAAAGGUAGCAAUAUCUUGAGUAAAGUGGCGCAAGGGUGAGUAAUAUGUAAGUAAUCUACCCAUGGAAUUGGAAUAACGUCGAGAAAUCGACGCUAAUACCGAAUAAUGCAGCGGCACCACAUGGUGAUGUUGUUAAAGUUGCAGCAAUGUAACGUCUAUGGAUGAACUUUCAUCUGAUUAGCUAGUUGGUAAGGUAACUGCUUACCAAGGCUACGAUCAGUAGCUGGUCUGAGAGGAUGAUCAGCCACACUGGAACUGAGACACGGUCCAGACUCCUACGGGUGGCAG
rnacentral:rRNA from 1 species